UUCGGUUUCAAUGGGAGCGGAGGUCUCGCUGCUCUAAGCAUCGGGAGAUCCUUUGGAAAGGAUCAUGUGCACCACGAUGGCCGUCCUUACUACCAUCGGGCUCAUCCUGCGGCAUUUAUUCUCCAGUAAAAUCAACCCGCAGAUGGAGGAAGAGGUGCCAGAUGUGAAGAGCAACCAAGUUUCAGAAAAUCAGAAAUGAUGGUCUGCACAUCGAAGCUCAUGCCAAGUUUUCAACCUGGAGUGAAGAAACAACAAAGUCGGUCGGGGGGGUGGAAGGAUUGAGCAUUCUGGCCUGUCCUGCACAUGCUCUCUAUUCUGCGACGGGGAACUGAGGCAAAGGGAAUUUGGGCUGAAUUCCAGUUUCAAGAUAACAUUCUCGUGUUUUCAUGCCAGUUUGAGCUGGUUAGAUUUGCACUAUGACCCUUUAUUGUUGUUUGAGUUAGCUUUGCGUUAAAGAGUUUCCGGCAGAGACCCAUCGGAAACUAGUAAUGUGCCUC